GUGGGACUCAGCAGUGGUUUCUGAAAGCUGGAAGUAAGAGCAUUGGAUUGUUACAAAGAAAGCUACGGCCAGGCCCCGCUGCAGACGUGCGCAGCGGCUGUGCACCAAGGAAAACUACCAGUCCUCACCCAGCUAAGCCUUGGCAGACAGAGGGAUUGCUCCUCCUCGUGCCUCUAGCACAUCUACACAGCUGCAUGGCAUACCAUGUGUGAAGGACAGAAACACACACGCUGGGUCCAAGAGGAAGGUGCUACUCUGAUGCCAGUUGUCUUGCUGGAGUGAUGAGGUCACAGAGUGGGUAGCCGGUGGGGCAAAGAAGCUGCCCACCAGCUCCCUCACGCCUGUCCCCCCCUGCACACGCACUGCCAGGCCCAGCAGACACAGGAGACCGACAUUAAUUUGGCGCUGAGUUUCCCUCCGGUCCACACCCCCACUAAUCACGGAGUCUAGAGGACACAAAACAGGAAUGAAAGGAGUCUUCCUUCUGCCAGCCUGACUGACAAAACAUCCAGAAGGGCCACUCACCUGCCACCCACUGGCCGUUUUCAAACUUCAGGCUCUGCCCCGCCAGGUUCAUGGUAGGAGUUCCAUAGUCGAGCCCCAGCUCCAGUUCCCGCGUUGACCGAUCUAACUGUGGUAAGACACCAGGAAACCAAAGAACAAGAGAUACAUCAGAAGGAGAGAUGACGCCCCAGCUUUUCCCACCAGUUGUAGACCCAACAACACGGGCAGCUCUCCUCCCACCAGGCCUUAGCACCUUUAGAGACACAUUUUUUUUUUUUUUUUUUGAGGCAGGGUCUCACUAUGCAGCCCUGGCUAUCCUGGCUGUCACUAUGUGGACCAGACCAGCCUCAAACGCACAGAGAUCUGCCUCCCAAGUGUGGGGAUUAAAGGCGUGUGCCACUGUCCCUUCAUAAAUUGAGUAUUUUUUUUUACAACUACUUGACAGUUCAGAGAAUCCCACCAUACAUUUUUACAUAUGUAAUCAUACUUGGUUUUAAUUCAUUCUCCUCCUCUUCAGUGUAUAUUUAUAAUUCAAAGAAACUUGCAAGUUGUCCUUUGCUUAAUAUGGAAGCACAAAAUCCUAACAGUUCCUGGUAGGACUUGUCUAAUGUCCUGCAGUCUCAUUUCUGUAUUCUUUGACAGAACUCAUCAAACACUCCUCAAGUCAGGCCUGACUCCUGUGCAUUCAGAUAGGAGCAUGGCCAGCUCUGCCAGAGGGAAUCCUCCAACCCUGAGAGGAGACGUGACCAGCUUGACACGGGCAGGCAGGCGUGCAUGUGUGCGUGUGUGUGUGUGUGUGUGCAUGUGUGGAUAGAAAGAGAUAGAAAAAGACAGGGACGAACUCCUUCAAGUGUAUGCUAAAAUGUCCUUUGCUUGGUUAGGACUCCCUUGAGCACCCUAUUUAAAGUGACAACUCUCUUUCCACAUCACUCUCCUUGUUAAAAUGUCUACCCACGCAACAGAUGCUGGGAUUUGGUUCUCCCUGGCCCCUCGCCUCCUCUUUUUUUUUUCUGUUUCUGUUUCUGGGGCUUGAACCUUGGGACUUGAAUAUACUUCCACGGACAUAUAUCUCUUACUGUGUGUGUGUGUGUGUGUGUGUGUGUGUGUGUACAUAAGUGUUCAUGUGUGUGCAGGUGAAUGUUUACACACAUGUGUGGAGGCCAGAGGACAAGCUCGGCUGUCAUUCCUCAGGUACUAUCUACAGUUUGAAAACAAUUUCAGGCUAGGAAUGGUCGCCACACAUCUCUAGCCCCAAUACUCAGGAGGCAGAGGCAAGUCGAUCUCCGUGAGUUCAAGGUCAGUUCAAUCUACAGAUGAAGGAGCGGGACAUCUAGGGCUACAUGGAGAGACCCUGUCUCAACUCUGCCCCCCACAACAAUAAAGAAGUCAGCAUAUAGGUAUUAGCUCUCAUGAUGAUAUUUUCAAACAAAGGCGUGCUGUAGGUAGGGUUGCGCUAUAGGUAGGGUCUCUUUUUCCCUCCCCUCUGCAUUUUCCAUAGUAACCACCUUCUUCCCAGUCACCCCGCCCCCACCCGGCCCCUUCUUCAGCACCUAUGGUGAGGGGCUUUCACUGUCUUGAAGCUCAUGAAGUAGGGUGGCUGGCUGGCCGGCCAGUGAGUCCCAAGAGCCUCUUGUCCUCAGCCUGGUGUCUUCUUCCUAUGCACUGCCCCCCACUCAUGUGCCACAGUACCCAGAGUUUUAUUUUAUUAGAUUUUUUUAAAAUUAGGUUUGUGUGUGUGUGUGUAUGUGUGUGUGUGAGUGUGUGUGUGUGUGUGUGUGUGUGUGAGUGUGUGUGUGUGUGUGUGUGUGUGUGUGUGUGUACACCGCAUGCAUGUCCGGUGUCUGUGUGUGUGUGUGUGUGUGUGUGUGUGUGUGUACACCGCAUGCAUGUCCGGUGUCUGUGGAGCUCAGGAGACACUAGGUUCCUGGUCCUGGAGUCAUGGAUGGUUGUGAAGCACCAAGUCGGUGCUGGGAAUCUGACCUGCGUCCUCUUCAAGAACUGCAAGUGCUAUUAACCACUGAGCUGUCUUUUCAGCCCACGCCCAGAUUUUAAAAGUGUUCUGGGGAUUAAACUUAGGCCCUCACAUCCCUCCCCUGACUCAUCUCCUCCUUCUCCAGAAACUCCUUUUUUAAAUAUACUAUCAAUUUUCAGAGGGUCUUGUGGUGUCCCGGCUGGCCUUGAACUUGUAAUCCUGGCUCAGCCUCCCAAGCAGCUGGAAUUAUAGACCUGUACCACCAAGCCAGGUCCCUCUUUUCCUUACUCAGCACCUAAAAGGUUGGUGGAUACACAAAGUUAUCAAUUGGCUGCUAUGAAAUUGAUGACUAGAGAAGAUGCCUCUGGGCAGGCAAAGCAACAGGCAUAGAGCAGCAGGCAUAGCCUUACAGGCUCUUGUAAGGAUGGGUGGCCCAAGCAAAAGGUGCACAGAAGACACGGCUAUGAGGUACCUUAUGUGCCUUCCUCAGGACCUGAGCCACUGUCCUGGAAUAACAGGAUGCUGUUGAGCCCCCUGGGGGAUAGAGAGAUGGCUCAGAGGCUAAAAGCACUGGCAGCUCUUCCAAAGGUCCUGAGUUCAUAUCCAGCCACCACAUGGUGGCUCACACUCAUCUAUGAUGAGGUCUGGUGCCUUCUUCUGACCUGAUGGCAGAAUGCUGCACACAUAAUAAAUACACACAUCUUAAAAGGA